UGUAAUCGACUAAAAGAGGUUAGGUGAUUUUAUAUUGUGAAUUGUGAUAAUACAUUAUUUCGCUCUAAUGUUAUGCUGAAAUCGCGGAGCUUGUAAAUUUAAAUCACAGUUGAUCACAGAUCAAAGAUUUAAAUAUCAAAAUUGUACAGGUAGCGCCCUCUCGUAACAAUCGCCAGAAAAAUAUACAGAUUCCAUUUUAUACAGUUUCCACUAUGACGAAUAAAGAAAACUCAUUACAAAUCAAGAACAAGAAAUACCAAAUUAUCAUCCUAGGACUGCUGA